AGAGUUUGAUCCUGGCUCAGGAUGAACGCUAGCGACAGGCUUAACACAUGCAAGUCGAGGGGCAGCGGGGGCGUAGCAAUAUGCCUGCCGGCGACCGGCGCACGGGUGAGUAACACGUAUGUAACCUGCCCUAUGCAGGGGGAUAACCCGGAGAAAUCCGGCCUAAUACCGCGUAACACCUUAGGGGAGCAUUCUCUUGAGGUUAAAGGAGAGAUCCGGCAUAGGAUGGACAUGCGUCGCAUUAGGUAGACGGCGGGGUAACGGCCCACCGUGCCGACGAUGCGUAGGGGUUCUGAGAGGAAGGCCCCCCACACUGGUACUGAGACACGGACCAGACUCCUACGGGAGGCAGCAGUGAGGAAUAUUGGUCAAUGGCCGAGAGGCUGAACCAGCCAAGUCGCGUGAGGGAAGAAUGUCCUAAGGAUUGUAAACCUCUUUUGUCGGGGAGCAAAAAGGCUCUGCGGAGUCGUAUUGAGAGUACCCGAAGAAAAAGCAUCGGCUAACUCCGUGCCAGCAGCCGCGGUAAUACGGAGGAUGCGAGCGUUAUCCGGAUUUAUUGGGUUUAAAGGGUGCGCAGGCGGCGUGUCAAGCAAGCGGUAAAAUAGCGGGGCUCAACCCCGUCGAGCCGUUUGAACUGGCGCGCUUGAGUUCAGGCGAGGUAGGCGGAAUUCGUGGUGUAGCGGUGAAAUGCAUAGAUAUCACGAAGAACUCCGAUUGCGAAGGCAGCUUACCAGUCUGCGACUGACGCUCAGGCACGAAAGUGUGGGUAUCGAACAGGAUUAGAUACCCUGGUAGUCCACACAGUAAACGAUGAGCGCUAGGUGUCCGGGUCGCAUGAGACUUGGGUGCCCGAGCGAAAGCGUUAAGCGCUCCACCUGGGGAGUACGCCGGCAACGGUGAAACUCAAAGGAAUUGACGGGGGCCCGCACAAGCGGAGGAACAUGUGGUUUAAUUCGAUGAUACGCGAGGAACCUUACCCGGGCUCAAACGACUCAGGAAUAUAUUGGAAACGAUGUAGCCAGCAAUGGUCUGAGUCGAGGUGCUGCAUGGUUGUCGUCAGCUCGUGCCGUGAGGUGUCGGCUUAAGUGCCAUAACGAGCGCAACCCCUACCGCCAGUUGCCAACGGGUAAAGCCGGGAACUCUGGCGGGACUGCCGGCGCAAGCUGCGAGGAAGGCGGGGAUGACGUCAAAUCAGCACGGCCCUUACGUCCGGGGCGACACACGUGUUACAAUGGCAGGUACAGCGGGAAGCCACCUGGUGACAGGGAGCGGAACCCGAAAGCCUGUCUCAGUUCGGAUUGGAGUCUGCAACUCGACUCCAUGAAGCUGGAUUCGCUAGUAAUCGCGCAUCAGCCAUGGCGCGGUGAAUACGUUCCCGGGCCUUGCACUCACCGCCCGUCAAG
rnacentral:rRNA from 1 species